rnacentral:rRNA from 1 species
UACGGGGGGGGGCAAGCGUUGUUCGGAAUUACUGGGCGUAAAGGGCUCGUAGGCGGCCAACUAAGUCGGACGUGAAAUCCCCAGGCUCAACCUGGGAACUGCGUCCGAUACUGGAUGGCUUGAAUCCGGGAGAGGGAUGCAGAAUUCCAGGUGUAGCGGUGAAAUGCGUAGAUAUCUGGAGGAACACCGGUGGCGAAGGCGGCAUUCUGGACCGACAUUGACGCUGAGGAGCGAAAGCCAGGGGAGCAAACGGG